CAGGGGCGCAAUCGCUGAGAAGUACCCUUUGAACCUGAUCCGGUUAGCACCGGCGUAGGGAGCCUUGA
rnacentral:ncRNA from 1 species